rnacentral:rRNA from 1 species
UACAGAGGGUGCAAGCGUUGUUCGGAAUUAUUGGGCGUAAAGCGCGUGUAGGCGGCUUUGCAAGUCGGGUGUGAAAGCCCUCAGCUCAACUGAGGAAGUGCGCCCGAAACUGCAGAGCUUGAGUGCCGGAGAGGGUGGCGGAAUUCCCCAAGUAGAGGUGGAAAUUCGUAGAUAUGGGGGAGGAACACCGGUGGCGAAGGCGGCCACCUGGACGGUAACUGGACGCUGAGGUGCGAAAGCGUGGGGAGCAAACAGG